rnacentral:rRNA from 1 species
AACGAACGCUGGCGGCAUGCCUAACACAUGCAAGUCGAACGAGACCUUCGGGUCUAGUGGCGCACGGGUGCGUAACGCGUGGGAACCUGCCCUUAGGUUCGGAAUAACUCCCCGAAAGGGGUGCUAAUACCGGAUAAUGUCUUCGGACCAAAGAUUUAUCGCCUUUGGAUGGGCCCGCGUUGGAUUAGCUAGUUGGUAGGGUAAAAGCCUACCAAGGCGACGAUCCAUAGCUGGUCUGAGAGGAUGAUCAGCCACACUGGGACUGAGACACGGCCCAGACUCCUACGGGAGGCAGCAGUGGGGAAUAUUGGACAAUGGGCGAAAGCCUGAUCCAGCAAUGCCGCGUGAGUGAUGAAGGCGUUAGGGUUGUAAAGCUCUUUUACCCGGGAUGAUAAUGACAGUACCGUGAGAAUAAGCUCCGGCUAACUCCGUG